UACGGGGGGGGCAAGCGUUGUUCGGAAUUACUGGGCGUAAAGGGCUCGUAGGUGGCCAACUAAGUCAGACGUGAAAUCCCUCGGCUUAACCGGGGAACUGCGUCUGAUACUGGAUGGCUUGAGUUCGGGAGAGAGAUGCGGAAUUCCAGGUGUAGCGGUGAAAUGCGUAGAUAUCUGGAGGAACACCGGUGGCGAAGGCGGCAUCCUGGACCGACACUGACACUGAGGAGCGAAAGCCAGGGGAGCAAACGGG
rnacentral:rRNA from 1 species